rnacentral:rRNA from 1 species
CAGUCGCCACGGUAAUACGUAGGGUGCAAGCGUUAAUCGGAAUUACUGGGCGUAAAGCGCACGCAGGCGGUUUGUUAAGUCAGAUGUGAAAUCCCCGAGCUUAACUUGGGAACUGCAUUUGAAACUGGCAAGCUAGAGUCUUGAAGAGGGGGGUAGAAUUCCAGGUGUAGCGGUGAAAUGCGUAGAGAUCUGGAGGAAUACCGGUGGCGAAGGCGGCCCCCUGGACAAAGACUGACGCUCAGGUGCGAAAGCGUGGGGAGCAAACAGGAUUAGAUACCCCUGUAGUCCCUGUCUCUUAUCC